GCCUACGAGUCUCUCCUUUAGCUUGAGAUGUCUGUCAUUUUCAGUGAUUUUGUUUUCCUCAUUCCUCUGCUGAUAAAACACUGAGGUUUGUUUAACAAGUGUGCUGGAGCUUUCGGUGGCAUCUGGGGUUUCAGUUCCCAAAUCCCAUUGAAAUCUGGGAGGUGUUUCAGUGGAGAAAAACCUUUGCAAACCCUGAAGUCCUGACUGCUGAAUAAGACUUUUUUAGUUUGUUGGGUUUUUUUUCUUACAAAGUAAUGACAGACAUCACAGAAAGGGUUGUAGCAUGCUGGGUUCUCCCUUUGCGUGGGGCUGUGAGACAUGCAUGUGGUCUAGAGCUGGAAGAGGUGCUUCUCUUGCCCCCGUUCCUAAGAAGUCCAGUGAGGACAGUUGGCUGCAGAAGCCCUUGGGAGCAUCCCUGCUCUCUCUGGAGCUGGGACAGCUUGUCUGCAAUGCUGGGCUGGCUGGCCGUGGCUUUUGGGGUUUUCAGGCCACCUCCAUCCUCCCAGGACUUGGUGCUCUGCCCUGCGCCAGCUCCCUCACCUUCCAGUCUACAGAAGGCUGUCCUAGGUGGAUGUAUUCAUGGUACAGAAUGAUACCCUAUUAUUUGUAUUUCUUAUUCAUAUUAUCCCAUUAUUCUGGUAUUUUGUGCUUGCUUAUAUUUGGCAUGCAUUAUGUGCUUUUUCAGUAAUCGUUCUUCAAGGCGAGAGUUCCUGGAGGCCAGAAGAGGCCUCCCCUGGUAAUGGCAGGGCAAACUCCAGCAGAGCUGGGACUUCACAUCACCCCUCGCACGUAUUCUCUCCUUAAUGCUGACUAAUGGAUGUGCUGUCUUCAUUCAGGCUCCAGAGACCUUUCACCUCUGUCCAGCUGGGCUGCCCAGCGGCUAUGAAAUAGCAAAUACUUCGUACUAAAAAGAUGGGGUCAUGCCACACCUGCAUCUUAAUAGUGCCAGUCUUCAGGCCUCUUGACCUAAACCCUAGCCCACCCAGCUCCUGGUCACCACAGGGGAUCGAUGCUUCUGUAUUUGCAGGAUUAAUGCCUCUAAUUCCCGUUGCCAUCCCCACUGGCUGGCAUGGCAUGGUGCAGUUCAUGUGUUCCAGGCUGGUGGCUGAUUUGUGGGGCUUAUAAAGCACAGCUCAACAGUCACAAGCUAAAAACUCAGUCAGCAGAAGGCACCCAGCACUGCUUCGAGUUCUUUUUUUAGUGCAGUGAAGGAAAACUCUGUUACACGUGUCCAGAAUUAGUGUUUAAAAUGCUCGUUGUGGGAAUUCAGCAUUUCUGCUUUCGCUUUAUUUACACCUUUGUUCCCUAUUUCGGUUCAUUCCCUAGGCCUCCAUGUGUUUUCAAAGUCCGGGCAAGCAGCAGAGUGGCUGCAGACACGCACUGGCUCUGUGCUGAUCUCCCUGGCUCUUCAUCUGUCUCGGAGCUUGGUGAAAACCUGGUGUAAAAGCUGACGACUGCUUUGAAUCAGGGCUUUAGCCUGGUACUUUGUGGCUGGCGGAAUCGGAGUCCUGUUUGCUCCUCACCAUGUUUCUUUCACGAGGUUGUGGCUGAAUAUUGUGGUGCAAAAGCUGAAGUCCUGUCCUCCCGGGUACCAGUUCAGCGUUGUUUUGAGGUGGCAGUUCUGCCAAGUGGCAGUAACUGCAAAGCAUCCGCAUCCCCUCCCUCCCUGCCUGUCCAGGCCAUGUGGCAGAAGUGUUUCUAAAAUCUCUUCUUACCUUGGGAUAAAGUUGCCUUUUUGUGCGUAAACUGGAUAAAGAGAGAAUACGUGCCACAGCCCUUCUAAAAGUUGCCUUUCCUUUUACUGAAGGUUUAAAAUGUAGAAAUCCUCUUCAAGCUGCUUUUCAGGAAGAAGUGCUUAUUGAAACAGCCCGAGGCUGGGGAUGCAGAAGAUGCCAGGAGCAAGCAGCGCACAGAUACACGUGAGCGGCCUCAUCUGUUUUCUGUGUUCAGCUGUGUUCUUCGAGGCUGGUAGUCUGAGAUCCACUUGAUAUUGCUAUUAUUCUUCAGGUACCUAUUGGGAUUUUAAAGAUUAAAGGGCUUUGUCAGACUACUGAUGCACAAAACAUGGAUCUAGUUUAAAUAAAGAACUCGUGUGUGAUUGCAAAUGAAAUGUUUUCAUAAUUGAAAAGAGAAAACCCAAGUGUCCUCUUUAAAGCACCCCCC